rnacentral:rRNA from 1 species
ACUGUAGACGAAGAAUAAGGACCGGCUAACUACGUGCCAGCAGCCGCGGUAAUACGUAGGGUCCAAGCGUUAUCCGGAAUUACUGGGCGUAAAGCGUACGCAGAUGGCGUGAUAGGUAAGUUGUGAAAUCUUGUGGCUCAACCAUAUAGACUAUGACUUAAACCAUCACACUAGAGGUUGGUAGAGGCAAGCGGAAUUUCCGGUGUAGCAGUGACAUGCGUAGAUAUCGGAAGGAACACCAAUGGCGAAGGCAGCUUGCUGGGCCACACCUGACGUUAAGGUACGAAAGCGUGGGGAGCGAACGGGAUUAGAUACCCCGGUAGUCCACGCCGUAAACGAUGGAUACUAGUGGUAUGGAGAUUCGACCCUCUGUGUCACGAAGCUAACGCGAUAAGUAUCCCGCCUGGGGAGUACGAACGCAAGUUUAAAACUCAAAGGAAUUGACGGGGACCCGCACAAGCAGUGGAGGAUGGGGUUUAAUAUGACGCUAAGCGUAGAACCUUACCGAGGCUUGACAUCCUGGGAAGUCGAUCGAAAGAUUGAUGUGCCUUCGGGA